rnacentral:rRNA from 1 species
AGAGUUUGAUCCUGGCUCAGGAUGAACGCUAGCGGCAGGCCUAACACAUGCAAGUCGAGGGGUAACAUAGGAAAGCUUGCUUUUCUGAUGACGACCGGCGCACGGGUGCGUAACGCGUAUACAACCUACCUUUUAGCGGGGAAUAGCCCAGGGAAACUUGGAUUAAUGCCCCAUAGUAUGGAGAUCUCUCCUGAGAUUUUCAUUAAACAUUUAUGGCUAUUAGAUGGGUAUGCGUCCUAUUAGUUAGUUGGUAAGGUAACGGCUUACCAAGGCAGCGAUAGGUAGGGGUCCUGAGAGGGAGAUCCCCCACACUGGUACUGAGACACGGACCAGACUCCUACGGGAGGCAGCAGUGAGGAAUAUUGGACAAUGGGCGAGAGCCUGAUCCAGCCAUGCCGCGUGCAGGAAGACUGCCCUAUGGGUUGUAAACUGCUUUUACAGAGGAAGAACCACUCCCACGUGUGGGAGUUUGACGGUACUCUGCGAAUAAGGAUCGGCUAACUCCGUGCCAGCAGCCGCGGUAAUACGGAGGAUCCAAGCGUUAUCCGGAAUCAUUGGGUUUAAAGGGUCCGUAGGCGGGCAGUUAAGUCAGUGGUGAAAGUCUUCCGCUCAACGGGAGAACUGCCAUUGAUACUGAUUGUCUUGAGUUAUUAUGAAGUGGUUAGAAUGAGUAGUGUAGCGGUGAAAUGCAUAGAUAUUACUCAGAAUACCGAUUGCGAAGGCAGAUCACUAAUAAUAUACUGACGCUGAUGGACGAAAGCGUAGGUAGCGAACAGGAUUAGAUACCCUGGUAGUCUACGCCGUAAACGAUGGUUACUAGCUGUUCGGCCCGAUUAAGGGCUGAGUGGUUAAGCGAAAGUGAUAAGUAACCACCUGGGGAGUACGUUCGCAAGAAUGAAACUCAAAGGAAUUGACGGGGGCCCGCACAAGCGGUGGAGCAUGUGGUUUAAUUCGAUGAUACGCGAGGAACCCUUACCAGGGCUUAAAUGUAGUCUGACAGGGCUGGAAACAGCUUUUUCUUCGGACAGAUUACAA